ACCUCUCAUUGGUCUUUCGCUCUCUCGUGCACACACACACUCUCCCGCUCCCUCCACCCCCCCCCCCCCCCCUCUCUCUCUCUCUCUCUCUGAAAUACAAGUGCAAAUACAAGUUUUACAAAAGUAAAAAAAUAUGGAAAAGAAAAUUUCAAGGUUUUGAUUUUGCAAAAAAAAUAUCAUAUAAUCUGUGUAUAUGCACAGAUUGUGCAUACCCUUUCAGAAAGGAGCAGAAUGUAGUUUUGGUGAGGUUAUUUUACGCAUAACUGCAGAGACGCCACUAAACUUUGAUUCCCAAGUGUGUUAAUAUUGGGGCUAAAGGAGCUCAAUGCGCUGCAGCUAAACUAAACAUCCACAUUCAGGAAAGAAGCCAAUAAUAAAUAAGUAAAAAUCAAGUCCUACAAACACAAAUAAACAAUCACACAGAAACAAAACAAACAACAAACAAAUGACAAAGGCGUUUCCAGGGGACAGUAUGCUGUUAAAUGUAUGCCCUAAUAGUUGCUGUAUAUGUUAGAAAAUAAGCAAACACGUGAUUAUAAUAGUUGUGAUUUUAGUCGUGAACUAGAGAAUGGAGCAAAACCAUUCACUUCAAAAACAAUUAUUUAAACGCAUUUGUUAAAAUUAAAACGGGAAAGACUUGUUGUGCACGGAACCACAAACAAUAUUUCGUAAUAUUAUAUUAAAAGCAUCAAUUUACAAUUUAAACACUGCAGCUUUUAUUCAGAGCACACAUUUAAAUGUAAAGAAAAAAAUGUUUCUCUUUGUUUUAGAAAUGACCAGAAAUGACCCAUGCCGGUAAAUUCAGUUAUUCAUUUUUUUAUUGUGUAACAAGAUAAUAACAAGAUAACAUUGAAUUUAAACGGUCACACUUUGUGUAUAACCGCACACACGCACCCAGAUGUGGGGUUUAUUAACUUAACCUCUGUUCGCACAUCACAUGUGUGUGUAGUCUAGACUACAGUCAUUUUGUGAUUUUAAUAAUCGCAUCACCGCCUCUAACUCGGAGCAACAGCGCCUUUCAAAAACAAACAGCAGACAGAGGAGAGAGCAGGGCACGGACAGUGUGGGCCGCAUCCACGGAUACAAACACAUGCUGUUCUUCACAACAAUGACCCCUUGUAUCGCCGACAUGCGACACACUGGCCACACACAAUCCAAAAAUCACCACUUCUUCAUGAUCCAUGGAUGUGGACUGUGAUAAGGAGAGUCCUAUAACCAUGAGUGCACCUCUGUGUGCUUCUCUGACUCUUUCAUUCCUCCGCUCCCCCCCUUUCCUUUGCACCCUUUUGUUUUAGCCUAUCUCAGGUGAAUUGUAAUCAUGUGAUCAAAUGAGCACCCCCUUCCCCCUGAAAUGAAAAAAAAAAUGGGGGGGUUGAAGGACAAAAAGCAGUUUUGUGCAUACGAAAAAAGAAAAGAAGCAAAAGGCUUGUGUCUUCCCUUUCACGGCCACUCUUUAUCUGCGUCUCAACAAACUGUGACGCAGAGGGAAAAAUGCACCAGGAGCGCGGAGGCUCAGCCACGGAGCUGUGAAGGGACUGUCCGAAUCCUGGAGCUUCAAACCGGGCACCUGCAGAGAGACACUUCGGGGAUUAUUCUGCCGCUGCGCAGAUGAGGAUUUACGGGCCUCCCUUUGAAAUUAUCAACCUACACGUACUGUAUUCAAUGAUGUCAAUAAAUGGAUGAAAAUUGUACGGAGUUGGUCAGCGUCCUCUGUUGCCCUCUAUGCCGGGUUGAGUUUAGGCAGGCAUUGAUGUGAAGACCAAGCACAGCUAAGCCACCGUAAACCAGUUUAUUCUGAAGUCAACAAGUCUGGAAGUUGACAUGAUCACCAAGACUCUGGAAAUAGAUGUGUGUGGGCACAGCCACUUUCUGCAGCCCAAAGCUGUCGGCCACACGGAGAAGAAUUCACACACGACCGUCCCAUUCCAGACAACCUCUGCUUUGAUAUUGUGCUUGUUUGUCCAUCUUGUCCUGUUUUAAUCUGAACAUUAGAUUGUAUAUUUCCCAGUCCAUGUGGCGCAUCAGUUGCUGAUAGAUGAGUUGGACCAUGUGAUCACUUUGUAAUAUAUCUAACUACAAUGACACUUUUAUUAUAAUUUUUUAAUCUUAAUUUAACAACUACUUUUUUAGUCAGUUUAAACAAGUUGAACUGUAUGAACGGUGAAAAGAUACGGACAUAGUCAAGACGACUACAUCACAAGCAUAUCCUUCAACUAUAAAUGUGUUCUUUUUCGGGACUGAAUUCGUAGCGUUGCCAGAAUUCAAGUUAAGUUACGUUAAGUUAGUUUAUUUUGAAUGUACAUUUAACCCUUAGAACACAGCGCAUUUCGGCUGCUUUGUUCCCUCCACAGAGGCUCUAAGAAUGUGCAAUAUAUAACUCACUGAUAAGUAAUAUGAACGCUUCAACUAUUGUUUUUUUUUUGUUAAGCACAACCUAGACAAUUUGAUGAAAAAAAACAACACACCUGUGCAAAAAGUACUCAAAAUGUUUAAAAAUCGGAUUGAAUUUGUGAACACGUUGCAGUUAAAAGUUCACUUGGCUUGGUUUUAUGAACAAAAAGAAAAAGAAAAACGCUCUUUUUUGUGACUCCUGCACAAUUAUUGUUAUUUUGUACGACUACUCAAAAUGAGAUAUAAAAUGAAUCAUAACUUUGGCUCAACAACACGUAAGAAGACAAAAAACUAUUGUUUUUAAGCCUGAAUAUGUGACUUAUAAACACAAACAAUUCAGAAAUAUGACAAUAAAAACAAUAAUAUGUUAUGCAAUCAAAUCUAAGUUUUAAGCUUCUUUUUGAUUUAAACUUGGUUUGAUUUCAAGAUGUAGAAAAACAUCAGACCAACCUCCAUAUACAGGCGGAAAGCUUUAAAAAUGAGAAUACUCACAUGUACU